UCACUAUUUUUUUUUUAGAGAUCUCGACGGUUACUCCUUCAGCUAGGCAUCUGUAAAGACCUAAACUGAUAAUUUAAAUGCAAAGUUCACAUUUCGAAGCCGGCGAUCAACAAAACUCUUGCCAAUGACAUCCAUCAAGUUGCUCAUCAGAUCACCACUCUCACCCUACUUCAACCCUCCCACAUUUCAAAUCUUUUAUAAAAUCCUGGGCAACCCAAAUUUUUUUUUUUGGAUUUUUUGACAUCUUCAACUGUAAUUGAUGAUCAGUCGGAGCAAUAAAGGAGCAAGUCAUGGGGCACCAUGUGUCUCCGGCCAAUCGGUGUCGACUAGCGGCAGCGUGGGCUCUCCUACAACCGGGAGUGAGGCGAUUGGCAACACUCCCCCAGUGAUAAGACUUCUUUUACAGUUGAUCAUGUAGAUGCUCAUGCUGGUGAUGUUGCAUCUCAAGCUACUUAUAUGUGAGUGCUUAAUUUGCUGUGUUUUUUGAGGAUUUUAUUGCAGGGAAUCGAGUGUGAUUGAUUUGCUUUUACAAUUGAGACCGGAUUCUAUGGUGAUUUGAUUAUAUAUUUUGAUUUUGGAGCAAUUUUGUGAUCAUUGGAUGGUAAUUAUUGAAUUUAGAAAAGUGAUUUUUUUUUCUGUGUUUGUUUUUGUGUUUGGACUAAUUACUACCGUCUGAGCAUGAAUUCUGCUAACUGUGUGUAUUAAGUGUUUUACUAUAUUCUUAGUUUUGUUGUGAUGAGACAGUGAAAAAAAAGGGGUCAACAAGCAGUCAGAGGGGAUAAGAAUUGCAGGGGACUCCGCCAAUCUAACAUGAAAGGUUUGUGCCUUUGUCAUUCUAUGUUGUUGCGAUAGUAAUCUUCUGCGCAUGCUGUUGAUAUAUAGUUGAUGUUUAACCAAGAGUGCUUGUACUGAUCAAUGGGUGCAUAGUGAAGUGGUCUAUGUCAUAACAAUGUUAUAUUUUGGGCUCUAUAGUUCAAGUUGCCUAUUACAAAAAUUGUUAAGUCUCUGCUCAAAAAUGAAAUCUGAUUAUAUUGUCAUGUGAUUAUGGUUCUUUAGCUAAAAUGGUUGGUUGUUUGGCGUCCACUGGCAUCCAUUCCUCCGAUCCUGUCAGUGCCAAUUUUUCCAAGGUCAAACCCUUAUUCUUUUUUACUGAUUGUUUUGGUCAAUUUUGUUUAUUAUUUUUAGGGUUUUGAUUAUUUUUUGUGUGUGCUUUGUAAUUUGAUUUGGGUUGUGUGAAAAUUAGCUUUCUUGAUCUUGAUACUUGAGGGUUUUGUUUAAUAUGAUCAAAUUGAUUAAAGUGCUUUGUGAUAGGUUGAACUUUUGGCCGUUAGGAGAUUAGGAAUUUGAUAUAGUUUUUGUUAACUUUCGUGUAUUGAUUUGAUUGUUAGGAGCUCUCAGCGAAUUAGGUAAUUUCAAAUUAAUAACAAGAUUCAAUCUGACACUCUAAUUUAAUAUAAUAAAUUAACUAAUUAGAUAAAUUUGGAUAAAAUUAAUGGAUGAUCUCGGAUAGCUUUGCUGCUGAGAUAAAGUUGUCUGACAAGUUUUUUUCCCCACCAAAACCAUCAUUCUCGCAUAUUGAAAUUGUAUCUUUCAUUUUGCUUGGUUUCACCUUCGAAUAUGGUUCACAGUUUAUAAAUUAUGCAAUUUCGCGUCAAGUUCAAGACUUAAAUGUGCAUAUUCCAGAAUUUGUUAUGGAUUUAUCCACCUUUAGUUCUACUUCCAUGAAGAAACUUAAGAUGAGUCUUGAUUUUUGUAAGGUGUUUAGAUUCUCGGAUUGUUGGGAUUUGCCUGCUUUAACAACUCUACGCUUGAUACUCCCUUCAUUAAGCCUUGGCGGAAUAAGUAUUCCUGAAUUAUAGUUGAUCUGUUUGCCUUCUUUACAGACUCUGGUUCUCGAUUGUAUUGAGUUACCAAAUUCUCUUGAUUGCUUGCUUCAGUAACUCUCUAUCUGGCAAGGUGCAAGUCCUUAAUAUUAGCUGUAUUGGUUUAUUCCCAAUCACAUUUAGACUAUCUCAGUUAGAGUAUGUGAAUAUGAAAUUAAGGGAUAGCACUGAUGGAAGAAAGCCUAUUCCAGGAUCUAAGUUGAUGAAGAUAUAUUAUCGCGGAUUUACUUAUGUCUCAGGUUUAGGGUAGUGCAAAGAUUCUUACUCUCGACUUGGAGACUAUUGAGAUUCUCUCGUAAAUUCUCCUCCUCAUUCUAUAACUUAAAGUAUGUGAAGGUGCCACAAGGAUGUAAAGAAACAAAUUUUGUCAACUGACCUCAAAUGCUACUUGCUUGGUCGCUCUCCAAAGCUACUAUUGUCACUAAAUUUCCUCAGCUAGGAAGUCUGCACCAACCACUGGAGAAUGAAGAUGCCCCACAGAUACCGUCCUGGAACUCUUGCCCUGCGGUAUAUAUUUGUUUAUAACUUCAUAUGCAUCCAUCAAAUACAGUGGAAUAAACCUUUCGGAGGUUUACUUAUGUUUUACACGUUUCUACCUAGACAUCUAUAAAUAUUAAAAUACUGUGCCCUGUCAUGUAUAUAUGUGAUAUAAAGAAGAAUCAUCCCCGCUCGUGAAUUGUGAUGAUUCUGUAAGUGUGGCCUCCCCCGUCGAGUUCUACGUGGCGGUAUGAUUUUUUAAGGAGUCAGUGGGAGCCUGGGAGGUUUUGUCGCCAAUGUUGUGGCCUCGUGGGGGUUUUGCUUAAAAGAAUUACACUUAUUUCUGUUAUUAGUAUUAGUCAUAUCUCUUCUGAAAUAAUCUUAAUGUAAACAAGAGGUUUUUUGUUUGAGGUGUUUUGGACAUUUUUUCUUUUGUUAGAUAAAAAACUGCUUAUGGCUUCUGCAAACUUUGCAUUUACAUUUUUAUUUUAGCAGAGCA